ACUUAUUUAGUAUAAAAAGUAUAUAAAGCCUCCAACUUUAAGGUUUACCCAAAAAUAAGUA
rnacentral:tRNA from 1 species